rnacentral:rRNA from 1 species
UACGUAGGGUGCGAGCGUUAAUCGGAAUUACUGGGCGUAAAGCGUGCGCAGGCGGUUUUGUAAGCCGGAUGUGAAAUCCCCGGGCUUAACCUGGGAAUGGCAUUCGGGACUGCAAGGCUGGAGUGCGGCAGAGGAGACUGGAAUUCCUGGUGUAGCAGUGAAAUGCGUAGAUAUCAGGAGGAACACCGAUGGCGAAGGCAGGUCUCUGGGCUGACACCGACGCUCAUGCACGAAAGCGUGGGGAGCGAACAGG